rnacentral:rRNA from 1 species
CACGUAGGGCGCGAGCGUUGUCCGGAAUUAUUGGGCGUAAAGAGCUCGUAGGCGGCCUGUUGCGUCCGCUGUGAAAGCCCGGGGCUUAACCCCGGGUCGGCAGUGGAUACGGGCAGGCUAGAGGUAUGCAGGGGAGAACGGAAUUCCUGGUGUAGCGGUGGAAUGCGCAGAUAUCAGGAGGAACACCGGUGGCGAAGGCGGUUCUCUGGGCAUUACCUGACGCUGAGGAGCGAAAGUGUGGGGAGCGAACAGG